rnacentral:rRNA from 1 species
CCGGCACGGGUGAGUAACACGUAUGCAAUCCACCUGUAACAGGGGGAUAACCCGGAGAAAUCCGGACUAAUACCCCAUAAUAUGGGCGCUCCGCAUGGAGAGCCCAUUAAAGAGAGCAAUUUUGGUUACAGACGAGCAUGCGCUCCAUUAGCCAGUUGGCGGGGUAACGGCCCACCAAGCGACGAUGGAUAGGGGUUCUGAGAGGAAGGUCCCCCACAUUGGAACUGAGACACGGUCCAA